GAGACGGAGGAGGAUUAGGGAAUGCGCCGAGCUCGAUGAGGGGAAUCACUGCUGAUGGAUCGCGAUGCGAUGCGGUACGGCGUGACGAGGCCGAUGGGCGCCAUGGCCACCCACUCCCUUCAACACGCUCACGGGUUGGUUCCUCGAUCGCGCCGCCGGGGCCGGGCCGGGCCGGGCAGGGCAUUGGCCGGCGCACCGCCCCGGUUCCCGAGGACAGCUUGCCCCGACCGGACCGCUCGUGCUCCCUCGCCUGUGGAGGCGGGGAACCGACGCGUGUCGGCCGUCGCCGGGUGGUGGACGGUGGCCUCGAGUUCCAAGGCAGCGCCCUUGUCGUGGCCUUUUCUGGAUACGUCUCUUUCAUCGUCCCCCUGCGUGCGCCGAAAGGCAUGCUUCUGCUUCCUGACCAUCGCGCCGCUGUCGCAUCGAGAGCUACGAAUCCUCGUGUUGCGGUUAUUACAUCUGGUGAUGCGAUUGAUUACCGCACUCAUGCAACCAAUCAUUUUGAUAUAGGAUCGAUUCUUAUUGUUGCCAUCACAACCUCAGAAGUAUAUAAGCAUUGGUGGCAAAUGUUGCGACCAAAAUGCUGCAGCUGGCCACAAUGAUCGCCACCGAUCCGAUUGAUUGCCUAUUGUUUCUGAAGUAAAAGGGAACGGGAAAAUGAAGAAAGACGGAAUAGCCGGAAGCGAUCCACCAUUUCACAAGGUGGAAGAUUCGUUCCUCAGAAUUACAGGUCUUGGCUUCUCCUCCAAAGUUGGGUUUUUGAGAGAAUUGAGCCAACAAAGAUCAGCUGUCGAGCACCAGAAACAACUCAAUCAAUCUCAUGCUCUGGGACAUGCGAAUACGAGGCAGGAAUCAUCCCUUUCUGCCAAGUUGGCCUGGUGAAAAAAAGAAUCCGGCUUACUGGCCUCCUCUGCUUCCUCACGUUCUUCUGCCAUUGACCAGUUCUUGAUGCAGGUAAUGGCAGAGUAGAACUGGCAUCUUAAGAAUUGAAUGUCCUAAUCCAGGUCCACAUUGCUUCGAGAUCAAAUAAGCCCUCUGACGGCUAUAGGAGUCAUCAUCUCCAAGUGUCGAGCAGAGAGAAUUGAAAGAUCUAGCACGCUCGGAGAACAUCCAAUAUGGAGUUGAAUACACGAACAAGUUUGACAACAAAACGACAUGUAGAAGCAAUGGUAGGUUUUCUGCUGCUGCAGUAUCAAUCCAGAUGGGAAUAUGCGGGGCAAUGAAACCUCCAGACUAGGCAUGUAUUAUGAAAUCUUCCGAGUGAAGCAUGUAGCAGUUCAGCAAUCAAAUGGAAAUUUCAGUUUCACUGAGAACAAGGAUGAUAAUGGAACCCUCAAAAAAGGUUAUGAAAGACUGAUACUUUCUUGCAGGCACAGUAUGCAAGCGUCCAAUGUACUGGGGUGACUUCUGCUUCAGAUAUCUGACCAUUGAACUGAAUUCAAGAAGGGAAGAUUGAUUUAGUGGCUUGCCUUUGUAAAGCUUUCAGUUCAUCAUCUCUGAAGAUCUAAUGAUGAAAUUUCUCUUUUCCAGACUUUCUGGUGGGGCACAAAGUGCAUCCUAACAAUUACAUUCAACCAACUGCCUCAGUCUUUGGGGGACAUAAACAAGCAAUCUUGAGGAGCUCAGCCAAUCACCUGGGAGGCUUGUGCCUGAAUGGAGUAGGCAAUAAGGCUACUUUAUUUUGUAGCUCAGAAACCUAGGUCCAUGAUCCUCAGUUUUGAGUCAGAGUCCAAGAUAUACCACUGCACUGUUCCAGCAUCAACCAAGAAUGCAAUCAGGCUAAACCUCUUGGCCCUAAUCAUCACUGGAAAAGAACAAGAGGGACAUGAGGGAAAGAGAUGGGGUCUGAGCUCCAUCUGAGAUAAAGAUGACACCUCUUGAUUGAUCCAUAAAGCACAUCCACUAAAUAUUGUCCAAGUGGGCCAAAUCUUUUAUUAGUAGACUAUGAACCAACUAAAGCUUUGUUUUGGUCUCUAAAGAAGAAAGCAAGCGGGGAACCCCAAAAGGGUGCAUUGGGACUAUAGAGAACAGUAUCAUAAGUUUUGGCUGCUUCUUUCUUCAACGCUGCAAGCCAUGCGCUGACGCCACCGUUUGCUUCGGAAAUGAGGCAUUGGAAGCGCACAGUGCACAGGUUUAGUCAAUGCUUCAGAGGUGGACAUCAGCUAUUUGCACAACAGAUAACAACAAAUGAUAAGGGGAUGUGAAGAACUCCAAAGUCCACUCUCGAGACACAUCAAUAAUCCAUGGCGGUGGGGUUGUCCUUGGGAUGUGACAGGUGGGUAGUCCUCCAAGUGUAUAAAGUUUUUGACAGACAAAUUUGAUGCACUGUGCACACCUCUCUCCAUGCAUGCAUUGAUGAGGGAAAAAUAAGGUGUCACAGUGCGGAAAGAAACUACCAGGUGGAAGUUACUGCAAGGCCAUGCCAGUUCUAGUGAUCGUGUAUUGUUCUCCAUGACUAGAAAUGUGAUUGAUUCAUCAACAGACCAUUCUUUUCAUGUGAAAUCAGUGGAUACUAUUCAGAUGGAAGUUUACUGCAACAAACAGAGGUAAGGCUCAGGUAAUUUCUUUGUGGCAUCAGAUAAAGAACAUGUGUAAUGCUCCCACCAAAGUUUUACUGCAGUCAUUUCAAGCAUUGACUGCAUUUUUUGGGUUCUGUGAGAACAAAGCCUACCUUAAACACAGCAGAAUGACUAUUAAAGCCACAUUCAUUUGUUUACAUCUGAACUGCUUGCUUGCAAGAGGGCAAAGGGGGGAGGGCAUUUCCCAUGUCAACUUUUUGUUGCUUGAGGCUUGUGCUACUUGACAAGAAGAAGACAAUUAAGUGCCUUUGGUCAACAGGAAAAAGAAGACAAGAGAGAAUCUAUCUGAAAGAAGAUAGAGAUAGAGGAGGCUAUGUUAACAGAAAAACAUAUAAAAAUCUCAUGGAUUGACUUUUUUGCUGGUAGCAGAAAGAUUUUGGUUUGAAUGGAAGAUUGAGUAGCUGAAAUCUUCCUGUGCUGACCUGCCAACAUCUCCAAUGUCAAUGUUCUAAACACAGCCUGACUUCCACAUGACUCCUCCCCAAUGAGAUAGAUGGCUUCUUAUCCAGCUCCUGGUCAAAUUACAGGACCCUUCUUUUCAUAAAUAGUUGUCAAAGUGUUUUCCAUAGGAGGCGAUAAUGAUUUGCUGGAAUGAUGGCGACCAAAUUGAUAGUGUUGAUGAGUGUGGUCCAAUCUAAGCUUCUGUUUGAUUAGGAUAUAUUAUCUUAUGGUAACAAAUUUCAAAGAAAGUUUCACUUUGACAUCAUGAUGACAUUGAAGAUCAUGCUUGACCUUGUUUCAUUAGCAUUUGAAAAUAUAAUUGUCUCAAUCCUACACCGACCAUUUGUUUGUUCAUGAUGUUUAUUAGAGAAACA